UACGUACUGGGCGAACAUUAUUCGGAAUCACUGGGCUUACAGGGUGCGUAGGCGGCUUACCAGGUCUGGUGUGAAAGUCCACGGCUCAACCGUGGAAUGUCAUUGGAAACCGGUAGGCUUGAGUCAGCUAGGGGUACGCGGAACUUCCGGUGGAGCGGUGAAAUGUGUUGAUAUCGGAAGGAACGCCGGUGGCGAAAGCGGCGUACUGGGGCUGAACUGACGCUGAGGCACGAAAGCCAGGGGAGCGAACGGG
rnacentral:misc_RNA from 1 species